rnacentral:lncRNA from 1 species
ACUGGGCUGCUGGAAGCUGGGUUCCUUCCGAAGGGACGUUACGCUACCGUCCGUAAUAUCACCCCAAGCCCUAGCAUUCUCAGGAAAGUCGCUUAUGAAGCUAUGACUCAAGUGCCGCAGUGCUUGGGCCCACGCUUCGCAGCGUGGAAUCAGCGGCGGGGCGCGGCGGCACGAGGAAGCUGUGCAAAGCCGAAGGGGCAGCCUCAGACCAGGAACCUUACCCGUCUGGCGGGUCUUAUGGCCGAGUCACCGUGGCGGCGCGGCAGCUCGGGCCCGGUUCUUCCGGGCGGGCCGGGGUGGUCACCUCUGCAAAGCAGGGUUUCUGGGCCGUGAUCGAGUCUUGCUCACGGGCAUGUCGGGAAACGCCUGCUGCGCUCCCUGCCUGAAAAUCCACUCUUGAAAAUGCACUCCCUUAGGUUAAAACGCUGCCUUUCCUAAGGACCUUCUUUAAAAGUAAAUCCUAACAUAAGUUGGUGCAACCAAUUUCCUUCCCUUACAGACGCUAAAAGCAGAGCACUGAAGGGGUGGGAUUCUUGAAGGGGAGGGAGGGAGGUAAGGCUACUGAUGAUCCUGGAAGGGACAGCUCCACUGCGAAGGGUUUAGGGGAAGGCGGAUAUCAGCUCUGGUUGCUCGGUUAGUUUGCCCUAUUUGAGCUGACGACUUUCGUUAAUGAAUUUCACCUCUAGUGCUCAGUGGUUUAUCUGAAAGAAAAGGCUGGACUAGAGAAGUGGUUCUCAAAUUGGUCCCCAGACCAGCAACAUCAGCAUCAGCUGGGACCUCGUUAGAAAUGAAAACUAUAGGCCAGUCCUAGAUCUACUGAAUGAGGGACUCAGCGGAGAGCCCAGGAAUGUCUUUCAACAGCCCUCCAAGUGUUUCUGAUUCAUGCUGUCAUUUGGUGACAAACUGGACUAAAUGAUCUGGCGAGUCCCUUGCACAGAAGAGAGCUGAUACUUUUUAAUGUGGUUCAUGAGGCCAUACAAGGCCCUCACUGAUGUGGUCCUCAUGUAACUGUCCAGUCUCUUAAGGCAACAGUCUUUCUCAUCUACAUAAAACUGAUAAAACUUUCUCUAAAGAGAUUUCCUCUUUGAAACCCAGGCUUACAUAUGCUGCUCUUCCUGACAUAGCCUUUUUCUUCCAUUACUAUCUCCUAUUUGUCCUGUAAGACUUGUUUUGUGAUUAUCUCUUCCAGGAAGGCCAUCUCACACCUCCCAAGGUCAGGUGUCUCCCUUCUGUGUUGUUGUAGCACCUUGUAAAUGUUAUAUCCAUUUACCACCUUUAUCAGGUCACCCACCAGACUGAGCGAGGUGUGAGCAGAAACUUGUACUUCUGCACGUUCAGUGUCUGACACAAUGUUAGCCACUACAGUAAUCAUCAAUGCAUGAGUGAAUGAAUGGAUGAAUUGAAUCCUUUUGUCAACUGAGGGCUCAGAUAGUGGCUUUCUGGUUCUUUUUGAUCUCUAAUCAUUGAUAAUUUAAAGCUCUUCGUGUUACCCCAAUGAUUUGAUCAAUGCUUAUUACUGUUAGUAAUUUUUUUUUUUUUUUGAGACGGAGUUUCACUCUUGUCACCCAGGCCCGAUCUCGGCUCACUGCAACCUCCACCUCCCAGGUUCAAGUGAUUCUCCUGCCUCAGCCUCCCGAGUAGCUGGGAUUACAGG